UGAACGCUAGCUACAGGCUUAACACAUGCAAGUCGAGGGGCAGCAUGGUCUUAGCUUGCUAAGGCCGAUGGCGACCGGCGCACGGGUGAGUAACACGUAUCCAACCUGCCGUCUACUCUUGGACAGCCUUCUGAAGAGAUUAAUACAAGAUGGCAUCAUGAGUCCGCAUGUUCACAUGAUUAAAGGUAUUCCGGUAGACGAUGGGGAUGCGUUCCAUUAGAUAGUAGGCGGGGUAACGGCCCACCUAGUCUUCGAUGGAUAGGGGUUCUGAGAGGAAGGUCCCCCACAUUGGAACUGAGACACGGUCCAAACUCCUACGGGAGGCAGCAGUGAGGAGUAUUGGUCAAUGGGCGAGAGCCUGAACCAGCCAAGUAGCGUGAAGGAUGACUGCCCUAUGGGUUGUAAACUUCUUUUAUAAAGGAAUAAAGUCGGGUAUGGAUACCCGUUUGCAUGUACUUUAUGAAUAAGGAUCGGCUAACUCCGUG
rnacentral:rRNA from 1 species